UCUCUUCCUCCUUUUAUUUUAUUCGCCAUUCCUUUUUUGUACAGAACUUUGCAAAUAUGGCUACAACACUUCAUGAAAUUAGUCAAAUUUUAAGCAAUUCGAUGGAAUGAAAUCUGUAAGUGAGAGUUGUUCGAAUGUGAAAAAUUCCGGAUCGUUUCAAGCCUCAUAUACCAUAUUUCAUAGAGUUAAUUUUGCAAGAUAAAAAGAGGCUUAUUGCACGAUGCUCUUACUCAACUUGCUAACUCUGGUAUGAAUUCUUUUUGUUCCACAUAGCCUCAAAGUUCUAAGACCAUUUAUAUAAAUCGUUAUUUCAUUGAUAUGGAACGAACCAUAGCAAUUAGUACAGUUUACCUAUAGUGAAUCUUUGUACUUAAUAUUAUCUAUUAUGUUCAAAGUAAAUCUCUGGCAGAUAUUAUAUAUGGCCGGCUCACAUAGCAGUAUGAUACAUCCUAAUAAUGAUUGUACGUACCUUUCUAUCGCGCUGCGAAAAUUAUAUAUAUGAGUUCUGGUCAAGUCGUCAAGUUGUCAAGUUACUAACAUGAGGUAUAUAUACCGAUCCAAAAGUGUCCUUCAUCUGAGAUGCUGCACAUUUUAUUUAAGUCUAUAUAGAUACUAACAUUGGAAUCAUAAUUUUAAAUAACUCCAAAUAGGCAAAGUACAAUCGUACAUAGUAUCACUGUAGAAGCUUUCAUUGAUUAUCACUUCACCAAUAAUAAGCUUAUUUAAGCAAGUACAUGUUAAAUUAAUAGAUUGUUAUUUCAUUGAUAUGGAACGAACCAUAGCAAUUAGUAUAGUUCACCUAUAGUGAAUCUUUGUACUUAAUAACAUCCAUUAUGUUCAAAGUAAAUCUCUUUCAGAUGUUAUAUAUGGUCGUCUCACAUAGCAAUAUGAUACAUCCUAAUAAUGAAUGUACCUUUCUAGGGUAAUUGUAUACAUGCCUCAAUAGGAAAGUAUGUAAUUAAGUUCUUUAGGACUAAGAUACAAGAACUCGCCUUAUAUCGCAUGAACUUCUUUGUUAUCGGGCCAAAUAACUUGAAAACUACGACAUAUAAUUUGAGGCUGACAUUUACACAGAGGACAGUUGUUGAGGUAACAACUGGCUCUUCAUUUCAUAUGAAAAUCUUUAAUCUUUGUCCUUUUGAUAAGCUAACAAAUCAAUAUCAUGUGGAUGAGGCAGAAUUAUCCGGUAAUUCUUCACUUCCAUUUUGUUUUAAUAUUAGGUAUUGUAAACUUUGCGACUAACUUUUAUAUUUGUGGAUGUGAUUGGUUAGGUUGUGAUCUAUGGAGCUGUUCAGACCUACAAGCAAGGAGAUAACAAAAGUGUCUUUAUGAAUGUUAAACUCGAAGAUGAGCAAUAGCAGCAACACCUGCUGAAUACUACCACCAAAUGCAAGACAAUCAUCUACGUUCAUGAUGAAUCCUUCUUCAACGUCCAUGUUCAUUAGCAGAUGAUACUGCAUGGAUUCCACGAACACAGA